rnacentral:misc_RNA from 1 species
UGAAGAACCUUUUUUUUUUUGAGAAACUGAAGAACCUUAUUGAGAAGCUGAUACUAUCAAAAAACAUAAACCGUGAACCAACCAAAAACAGAAAAAUCAAUAUUUUCAUUUCAGUUAAUUUUCUUGAUUUAAUGCCCACCCCUUUGGUUAAAACCGAAAAAACUAACAGAACUAAUUUUUUUUUGUUUCAUAGUUUUUCAGUCCGUUUAGGUCUAAAACUUUCAAGGUUUGUUACGGUUGAGUUCUUGAAAAGUAAGCCGAUUAAACUAAAUAACUUAUACAUGCAUAUGCUAUUUCUCACUUGUUUUGCCUCUCAUCUUGGAUGUCACAUUACUUUUGCAAAAUGCAGCAAGA